rnacentral:tRNA from 1 species
GGCGACCUCGUCGCGGAACGCCGCGAAGGUGUCGCUGCGGCCGACGUCGAGGUGCAGGGCGGUGGCCUUGCCGCCGUUCUGCUCGAUCAGGUCGACG